GAGACAGCAGUAGCCGCGGGAAUACAGAGGGUGCGAGCGUUAAUCGGAUUUACUGGGCGUAAAGCGUGCGUAGGCGGCUUCUUAAGUCGGAUGUGAAAUCCCUGAGCUUAACUUAGGAAUUGCAUUCGAUACUGGGAAGCUAGAGUAUGGGAGAGGAUGGUAGAAUUCCAGGUGUAGCGGUGAAAUGCGUAGAGAUCUGGAGGAAUACCGAUGGCGAAGGCAGCCAUCUGGCCUAAUACUGACGCUGAGGUACGAAAGCAUGGGGAGCAAACAGGAUUAGAGACCCCUGUAGUCCCUGUCUCUUAUAC
rnacentral:rRNA from 1 species